rnacentral:sRNA from 1 species
UAAAUCCAGUGGGUGGCGGAUCAAUGUU